GAUGAAGAACGUAGCGAAAUGCGAUACGUAAUGUGAAUUGCAGAAUUCAGUGAAUCAUCGAGUCUUAGAACGCACAUUGCGCCCCCUGGUAUUCCGGGGGGCAUGCCUGUCCGAGCGUCAUUGCUGCCCUCAAGCACGGCUUGUGUGUUGGGCCUCCGUCCUCCUCCCGGGGGACGGGCCCGAAAGGCAGCGGCGGCACCGCGUCCGGUCCUCGAGCGUAUGGGGCUUCGUCACCCGCUCUUGUAGGCCCGGCCGGCGCUUGCCGACACAUCAAUCUUUUUUCCAGGUUGACCUCGGAUCAGGUAGGGAUACCCGCUGAACUUAAGCAUAUCAAUAAGCGGAGGA
rnacentral:misc_RNA from 1 species